AUAAUAACAGCUACACAGCAUUUUAUUGAAGAUAAAAAGACCUUCUUCAU
rnacentral:tRNA from 1 species